rnacentral:lncRNA from 1 species
AGCCUGGGGAGAGACAUGUUGUCUGUAACCUGUAACUAGCCUAGGGAGAGACAUGUUGUCUGUAAACUGUAACUAGCCUGGGGAGAGACAUGUUGUCUGUAACCUGUAUCUAGCCUAGGGAGAGACAUGUUGUCUGUAACCUGUAACUAGCCUGGGGAGAGACAUGUUGUCUGUAACCUGUAACUAGCCUGGGGAGAGACAUGUUGUCUGUAACCUGUAACUAGCCUAGGGAGAGACAUGUUGUCUGUAACCUGUAUCUAGCCUAGGGAGAGACAUGUUGUCUGUAACCUGUAACUAGCCUGGGGAGGGACAUGUUGUCUGUAACCUGUAACUAGCCUAGGGAGAGACAUGUUGUCUGUAACCUGUAACUAGCCUAGGGAGAGACAUGUUGUCUGUAACCUGUAACUAGCCUAGGGAGAGACAUGUUGUCUGUAACCUGUAACUAGCCUAGGGAGAGACAUGUUGUCUGUAACCUGUAACUAGCCUGGGGAGAGACAUGUUGUCUGUAACCUGUAACUAGCCUAGGGAGAGACAUGUUGUCUGUAACCUGUAACUAGCCUGGGGAGAGACAUGUUGUCUGUAACCUGUAACUAGCCUGGGGAGAGACAUGUUGUCUGUAACCUGUAACUAGCCUGGGGAGAGACAUGUUGUCUGUAACCUGUAACUAGCCUAGGGAGAGACCUGGCUGGCUUGCUUUAUUUAAAUGAAUGUAAUACACAUUGUUAUAUCCUUCUGGUUAAAUCCCAAAUGGCACCCUAUUCCCUACAUAGUGCACUACUUUUGACCAGGUCCCAUAGUGCUCUGUUCAAAAGUAGUGCACUUUAUAGGGAAUAGGGUGCCAUUUGGGCCAAAUAUAGGAUAAUUUGACUGUAGCCUUCUGCGUUGAGCAGAGACAACUUUUUCCUUGUUGGCACUUUAUCUGUUGGUUAGUAGGUGUUAUUAUAUUAUUGAACCUCUGGAGCCAUACGCUAUUGGGUUAGUCAGGCUGAUCAGCAAGUCUCAAUAAGGUGUUGGGAUCAACAAGUCUCAAUAAGGUGUUGGGAUCAACAAGUCUCAAUAAGGUGUUGGGUUAGUCAGACUGAUCAGCAAGUCUCAAUAAGGUGUUGGGUUAGUCAGGCUGAUCAACAAGUCUCAAUAAGGUGUUGGGUUAGUCAGACUGAUCAGAAAGUCUCAAUAAGGUGUUGGGAUCAACAAGUCUCAAUAAGGUGUUGGGAUCAACAAGUCUCAAUAAGGUGUUGGGUUAGUCAGGCUGAUCAGCAAGUCUCAAUAAGGUGUUGGGUUAGUCAGGCUGAUCAACAAGUCUCAAUAAGGUGUUGGGUUAGUCAGGCUGAUCAGAAAGUCUCAAGCCUCAAACACCUUAGUAAUAUAUUCUGUCCAUGGACUCAUGUUACUCAUUUUCACUGGGGGGUGCGUCCCAAAUGUCAACUCAUUCUACAUUUGACCAGGGCCCAUAUGGGGGAAUAGGAAGUCAUUAAUGACCAGGGCCCAUAUGGGGGAAUAGGAAGUCAUUAAUGACCAGGGCCCAUAUGGGGGAAUAGGAAGUCAUUAAUGACCAGGGCCCAUAUGGGGGAAUAGUGUGUUCUCAGAAGGUGAAGCCAGUAGUGGCCUACUGGGCCGAGGCUUUGAUGUUGCUUUCCUGUGGCGUUACUUCUUUAUUUUAUCCUUGGUGGGGUUUAUUUUAUGUAAAUCAAGGAGACGUGCUUUUGAUUUGUCUGUUGAGUGUAAGGGGUUGUCCCAAAUGUCACCCUAUUCCCUAUGUAGUGCAUUACUAUGGGCCCUAUUCCCUAUGUAGUGCGCUACUAUGGGCCCUAUUCCCUAUGUAGUGCGCUACUAUGGGCCCUAUUCCCUAUGUAGUGCGCUACUAUGGGCCCUAUUCCCUAUGUAGUGCGCUACUAUGGGCCCUAUUCCCAAUGUAGUGCGCUACUAUGGGCCCUAUUCCCUAUGUAGUGCGCUACUAUGGGCCCUAUUCCCUAUGUAGUGCGCCACUAUGGGCCCUAUUCCCUAUGUAGUGCGCCACUAUGGGCCCUAUUCCCUAUGUAGUGCGCUACUGUGGGCCCUAUUCCCUAUGUAGUGCUCUACUAUGGGCCCUAUUCCCUAUGUAGUGCUCUACUAUGGGCCCUAUUCCCUAUGUAGUGCUCUACUAUGGGCCCUAUUCCCUAUGUAGUGCACUAUAAAUGGAAUAAGGUGCCAUUAGGGAGACAAGCCAUCUCAGAACAUACGCUGUUAAACCAUUGAGUACAUAACUGUGCUGUUACAUAUUUAUAUAAUUUGUAAGUAUGCAUAUUGUAAUUAUUUUAUAUUUGUAUACAUGCACUAGUUUAUAAGUGUGCAUUAUUUUUUCGGGACAUGAAUCAAACUGACGUGUAAAAAAGUUGAAAAAAAUAAAGUACUUUUUUUGUUAACCUGUCUCUGUCUGUUUGUCUGGUCUGUUUGUCUGGUCUGUUUGUCUGGUCUGUUUGUCUGGUCUGUUUGUCUGGUCUGUUUGUCUGGUUUGGUCUGUCUGGUCUGUCUGUCUGGUCUGGUCUGUUUGUCUGGUUUGGUCUGUUUGUCUGGUUUGGUCUGUCUGGUCUGUCUGUCUGGUCUGUCUGUGUCUGGUUUGGUCUGUUUGUCUGGUCUGUCUGUCGAUCUUUGGCCAGGAUUCAAUCCAAGGCACGUUACAGGUCGACACUCUAAACAGCCGACAACGCUCCUCUAAAGGCAAUGUCCCCAGCGUUCACGGAGAUCACAUUCAUGGUUGUAGGUCUUCCAGCAGGACGAUGACCCCAAACACACAUCAAAAAGCACCCAGGAAUGGUUCAAGAAGAAACUCCAGACUGUUCUGGAGUGGCCAGCGAAGAGUCCAGACCUGAAUCCCAUCCAAAACCAAUGGAGAGAUUUGGAAAAAGCAUUUGGUGGAGGGCACCCCUCAAACAUUGAAGAAUUAGAGCAGUCUGGUGCUGAAAAGCGGGCCAAAUUGCUAGUAGAGGUCCAGCAAUUCCCCAGAACUGCCUCGACACAAUCCUGUUUCCUGCCCAAUGAAGUGAAUUUACCACAGGUGGACUCCAAUCAAGUUGUAGAAACAUCUCAAGGAUGAUCAAUGGAAACAGGAUGCACCUGAGCUCAGUUUCGAGCCUCAUAGGAAAGAAUCUGAAUACUUAUGUAAAUAAUAUAUAUAUAUAUAUAUAAAUAUCUUUUUUUAUAUAUAUAUAUAAAUUAGCAAACAUUUCAAAAAAAAAACUAUUUUUGCUUUGUCAUUAUGGGGUAUUGUGUGUAG